rnacentral:rRNA from 1 species
AUGGGUAGGGGAGCUUCCCAUACGGGUUGAAGCAUGACCGUAAGGACAUGUGGACAGGAUGGGAGUGAGAAUGUUGGCAUGAGUAGCGAGAUGUGUGUGAGUAUCCCACAGGCCGUAAACCCAAGGUGUCCAGGGGAAGGUUCGUCCGCCCUGGGUUAGUCGGGAGCUAAGCUGAGGCCGAAAGGCGUAGGUGAUGGACAACAGGUUGAUAUUCAUGUACUACCGAUAACCGUUUGAGAGAAGGGAUGACACAGUAGGAUAAGCUAAGCACACUGUUGGUUAUGUGUGCCCAAGCAUUGAGGCAGUCAAAGUAGGCAAAUCCGCUUUGAUAAUGCUGGGAUGUGAUGGGGAGCGAAAUUUAGUAGCGAAGUAGCUGAUUUCACACUGUCAAGAAAAGUCUCUAUCGAGGUUAAAGGUACCCGUACCGCAAACCGACACAGGUGGGUGAGGAGAGUAUCCUAAGGCCAGCGAGAGAACUGUUGUUAAGGAACUCGGCAAAAUGACCCCGUAACUUAGGGAUAAGGGGUGCCACCAUCAGGUGGCCGCAGAGAAUAGGCCCAAGCGACUGUUUACCAAAAACAUAGGUUUCUGCUAAGUCGCAAGACGAUGUAUAGG